rnacentral:rRNA from 1 species
GUAACCGGCCAAAGGGCGUGGGAUCCACCCGAACCCAUUCCGAACUCGGAAGUUAAACUACGCUCCGUUCGCGACACUAGUGUUGUCUUAGGCUACGCGAAAUCGCGAAAGCUGGUAGCC